rnacentral:rRNA from 1 species
UACAGAGGGUGCUAGCGUUGUUCGGAAUUAUUGGGCGUAAAGGGCGCGUAGGCGGUUUGGCAAGUUUGGUGUGAAAUCUUCGGGCUCAACUCGAAGUCUGCAUCGAAAACUGCCGGGCUUGAGUAUGGGAGAGGUGAGUGGAAUUUCCGGUGUAGCGGUGAAAUGCGUAGAUAUCAGGAGGAACACCUGCGGUGUAGACGGCUUACUGGACCAUAACUGACGCUGAGGCACGAAAGCGUGGGUAGCAAACAGG